rnacentral:tRNA from 1 species
GUGGUGGCUCAGUGGUAGAGUGCACGCCUAGCAUGCAUGAGGCACUGGGUUCGAUCCUUGGCACCACA